CUGACAAAAGGUUCCAAGUUUCCGGGUUCACUCUGAGCUCGAUUUUAGCCUCCCAGGGAGGAAGUCAGAAAGAACUGCUCACAGGAAGCGCUGGCGGAAGCCCAAGUUUUAAUGUAGCUGCGUUUGGGCAGCGGUUUGUCCAUUAAGAAGCCAACGGUAGUAGCGUUCAUUUCAAUGAAAGGCGGCGUGGAAAUACAUUUCAUCUUUCUAACAUAGCAUGACUACCAAGCCCAAGUGGGAGGUGCCUGCCGUGCCCGAAAGUUGCUUAGCAAUAGCCUGUAAGCGCAGAUCUUUAUUGCAGGUUGAAGAUGGACUGAGGUCGUUUUACGUUUUCCAUUCAGAAAUGGUAUCCAUCCCAUGCAAAACACUCUCGAGGAGAAAACAGCGCCAACAGGAACCGGAGCUUCCUUCUUCAGGCAUCUGAAUCACGACUUUACUCUUGAAUCUCGAUAGUAUAGACUCUAUGGAAAGCAAUGGGGGCGGCCUGGCUUUACCGGCCUUCGUCUGUCUGAAGCGCUCGCCAGAGAGGGAGGCGCCGCAGAGUCACAGAGGCCUAAAGCGGGCUGUGCUGCGCGAAUUCCUGGCUCAAGAAGAGGUUGCGGCUUCUCCUUUUUUCUCCUGACAGCUCUUGUACCUUCAACAGCUUUCAGAACAGGCUGAAAUUCUUCAUGCUGACAGGAAGAGAAGCCGCUCCUGCAAAUCAUGCAACAGUUAAAGACGCUUUGUCAGGGGGAAAAACCAUAUAUACUGGUACUGUUUAGAUUGCCAGGCUCCAGCUGAUCACUUCCAUUUUACUCCUGAGUAUUUCUAGCUUUUUAAUGGGCUUGUUCCAGCAGAAAACAAGCCAUGUCAUCUUGCAGUAACAACUAGACCCCUUCAAAAGCAGAAAUAUUUUCAUAAAUUAACACUUUCCAUAGUA